GACGUAGGGCGCGAGCGUUGUCCGGAUUUAUUGGGCGUAAAGAGCUCGUAGGCGGCUUGUCGCGUCGUCCGUGAAAACCUGCGGCUCAACUGCAGGCUGGCGGUCGAUACGGGCAGGCUGGAGUUCGGUAGGGGAGACUGGAAUUCCUGGUGUAGCGGUGAAAUGCGCAGAUAUCAGGAGGAAUCACCGGUGGCGAAAGGCG
rnacentral:rRNA from 1 species